UGAGAGAAACAUCGCAGAAAUCAAUGGUAGCCUCAAGGCUAGCAGAAAACUGGCUGAGGCAAGGGUUUUGCUAUGAUAUGGACAUGGUCACCAGUCUCCUAAGCUGUGUGGUCUUUUAUCUCCUAGGAACAGGCUCCGUGGAGGCCCAAGUCACCCAGACUCCAAGACACAUCAUCACAGAGCCUGGGAAGAAAUUGAUAAUUACUUGCUCUCAGAAUAUGAAUCAUGACUCUAUGUACUGGUAUAGACAAGACUUAGGUCUGGGCCUAAAGCUUAUUUAUUACUCAGUUAAUAUUGACAUUACUGAUAAGGGAGAGGUCUCUGAUGGGUACAGUGUAUCUCGAAAAGAAAAAAAAGCCUUUCCUCUGACACUGGAAUCUACCAGAAUCAACCAGACCUCCCUGUACCUCUGUGCCAGCAGCGAACACAGCCCUGCAUAGCCAGCUGCUCCCUGCACAAAAAAAGGACAGCCACAUGGGCAAGAAGCCUCUUCCCUCAGGAGGUCCC